GGGAGUGGCAGACGGGUGAGUAACGCGUGGGAACAUACCCUUUCCUGCGGAAUAGCUCCGGGAAACUGGAAUUAAUACCGCAUACGCCCUACGGGGGAAAGAUUUAUCGGGGAAGGAUUGGCCCGCGUUGGAUUAGCUAGUUGGUGGGGUAAAGGCCUACCAAGGCGACGAUCCAUAGCUGGUCUGAGAGGAUGAUCAGCCACAUUGGGACUGAGACACGGCCCAAACUCCUACGGGAGGCAGCAGUGGGGAAUAUUGGACAAUGGGCGCAAGCCUGAUCCAGCCAUGCCGCGUGAGUGAUGAAGGCCUUAGGGUUGUAAAGCUCUUUCACCGGAGAAGAUAAUGACGGUAUCCGGAGAAGAAGCCCCGGCUAACUUCGUGCCAGCAGCCGCGGUAAUACGAAGGGGGCUAGCGUUGUUCGGAAUUACUGGGCGUAAAGCGCACGUAGGCGGAUAUUUAAGUCAGGGGUGAAAUCCCAGAGCUCAACUCUGGAACUGCCUUUGAUACUGGGUAUCUUGAGUAUGGAAGAGGUAAGUGGAAUUCCGAGUGUAGAGGUGAAAUUCCUAGAUAUUCGGAGGAACACCAGUGGCUAAGGCGGCUUACUGGUCCCUUACUGACGCUGAGGUGCGAAAGCGUGGGGAGC
rnacentral:rRNA from 1 species